AACGAACGCUGGCGGCAGGCCUAACACAUGCAAGUCGAACGCAUCCUUCGGGGUGAGUGGCGCACGGGUGAGUAACACGUGGGAAUGUAUCCUUCGGUUCGGAAUAACGACUGGAAACGGACGCUAAUACCGGAUGAGCCCUUAGGGGGAAAGAUUUAUCGCCGAAGGAGCAGCCCGCGUCUGAUUAGGUAGUUGGUGGGGUAAAGGCCUACCAAGCCGACGAUCAGUAGCUGGUCUGAGAGGAUGAUCAGCCACACUGGGACUGAGACACGGCCCAGACUCCUACGGGAGGCAGCAGUGGGGAAUAUUGGACGAUGGGCGCAAGCCUGAUCCAGCCAUGCCGCGUGAGUGAUGAAGGCCUUCGGGUUGUAAAGCUCUUUCGCACACGACGAUGAUGACGGUAGUGUGAGAAGAAGCCCCGGCUAACUUCGUGCCAGCCGCCGCCGUAACAC
rnacentral:rRNA from 1 species